AACUUAUCAAGAGUGACCGAGGGAUUGGCCCAAUGACGUCCGGCAACCCCCUUAUGGGAAGGUGCCAAGUCCAACAGAAUGAUCACAUUCUGGAAGAUAAGCG
rfam:Bacilli bacterium VT-13-104 contig044, whole genome shotgun sequence.